ensembl:snRNA U6 U6 spliceosomal RNA
GUGCUUGGUUUGGCAGUACAUAUGACUAAAAUUAGAGUGAAAACAGAGAAGAUUAGCAUGGUCCCUGGGUAAGGAUGAUAUGCAAAUUCGUAAAGUGUUUCAUAUUUUU